AGAAUCAACGCUGGCGGCGUGCCUAACACAUGCAAGUCGAACGCGAAAGUGGAGCAAUCCAUGAGUAGAGUGGCGAACGGGUGAGUAACGCGUGGGUGACCUACCUCUGAGUGGGGGGAUAACGUCCCGAAAGGGACGCUAAUACCGCAUAACAUCCUGCCGUUUAGGAACAGGCGGUGAUCAAAGCCGGGGAUCGCAAGACCUGGCGCUUGAAGAGGGGCCCGCGUCCGAUUAGCUAGUUGGUGAGGUAACGGCCCACCAAGGCGACGAUCGGGUA
rnacentral:rRNA from 1 species